rnacentral:rRNA from 1 species
AUGGCAGAGGCAUCAUGGAGCAACUCCCCUCCGUCUGCCAAGCAUCACCAUGGUGAGGCGUCUGGCAAGGAGCCGCUGGUGGUCGACGACGACAUUCCGGUCCCCGGGCAGAAGCGGGACUACACCGUGCCACUCAAGGUUGAUAUCCACCUGAAGGAGCCGCUGGAUGUCGUAUGCACCAGCAAUCCAGACGAAGCCGACAAGAUGAUCCGCAAGAUGAGGAGGAGGCUCGGCGGCAUGCUUCCUCGGAAUAUCGGCAUUGAUGUCGAGUAUACCAGGGAAGACAAACCUCCGCAAAUUGCUGCAGUUCUGCAGUUAUGCGUGGAGGAUCUCGUCCUGGUAUACAACAUCACCGCGGCAACCAAAUGGGCCAAGGAACUCCGCCCGCUCCUACAGGAGAAGAAGCUGUACACCUUUGUUGGCUUCUGCAUUAGAGGCGACAAGGAGAAGCUGAAGUUGUCUGGUUUGGAGAUCAACCCCGACAAGUACAUCGACUUGCAGCGCAAAUGGAGAGUUCCAAACAAUGGAAAGAAGUGGCAGUCUUUGGCUGUGUUUGCAGCCAGCCUCAUCCACCCAUCCUACUAA